rnacentral:rRNA from 1 species
GUGCCAGCAGCCGCGGUAACACGGGGGGAGCAAGCGUUGUUCGGAAUCACUGGGCGUAAAGGGCGUGUAGGCGGUUCGGCAAGUGAAAUGUGAAAUCCCUCGGCUCACCCGAGGAUCUGCAUCUCAAACUGCCGGACUAGAGUAUGGGAGAGGACAAGGGAAUUCCUGGUGUAGCGGUGAAAUGCGUAGAUAUCAGGAGGAACACCGGUGGCGAAAGCGCUUGUCUGGCCCAAUACUGACGCUGAGGCGCGAAAGCUAGGGGAGCAAACGGGAUUAGAUACCCCGGUAGUCCUAGCCGUAAACGGUGAUCACUAGGUGUUGGAGGCAUCGACCCCUCCAGUGCCGCAGCUAACGCAUUAAGUGAUCCGCCUGGGGAGUACGGCCGCAAGGUUGAA